UACGUAGGGGGCAAGCGUUGUCCGGAAUUAUUGGGCGUAAAGAGCGUGUAGGCGGUCCGGUAAGUCAGCUGUGAAAGUCAAGGGCUCAACCCUUGAAUGCCGGUUGAUACUGCCGGGCUAGAGUCCGGAAGAGGCGAGUGGAAUUCCUGGUGUAGCGGUGGAAUGCGCAGAUAUCAGGAGGAACACCAAUAGCGAAGGCAGCUCGCUGGGACGGUACUGACGCUGAGAAGCGAAAGCAUGGGGAGCGAACAGG
rnacentral:rRNA from 1 species